rnacentral:rRNA from 1 species
GGGGGGGGGGGGGGGGGGGGGUGGGGGGGGGGGGGGGGGGGGGCGGGCGGGGAGGGGGGUGCUCUGGUGUUAGCGGCGGACGGGUGAGGAGCACGGGGGUAACCUACCUAUAAGACUGGGGGAACUUCGGGAGACCGGAGCUAGAACCGGAUAAUAUUUUGAACCGCAUGGUUCACAAGUGAACGGCGGUCUUGCUGUCCCGUAUAGAUGGAUCCGCGCUGCAUUAGCUGGUUGGUACGGUACCGGCUUACCAAGGCAACGAUGCAGAGCCGACCUGAGAGGGUGAGCGGCCACACGGGAACUGAGAAACGGUCCAGACUCCUACGGGAGGCAGCAGUAGGGAAUCUUCCGCAAUGGGCGAAAGCCUGACGGAGCAACGCCGCGUGAGUGAUGAAGGUCUUCGGAUCGUAAAACUCUGUUAUUAGGGAAGAACAUAUGUGUAAGUAACUGUGCACAUCUUGACGGUACCUAAUCAGAAAGCCACGGCUAACUACGUG